rnacentral:rRNA from 1 species
UACGUAGGGUGCAAGCGUUGUCCGGAAUUAUUGGGCGUAAAGAGCUCGUAGGCGGUUUGUCGCGUCGAAUGUGAAAACCCGGGGCUCAACCCCGGGCCUGCAUUCGAUAUGGGCAGACUAGAGUUCGGUAGGGGAGUCUGGAAUUCCUGGUGUAGCGGUGAAAUGCGCAGAUAUCAGGAGGAACACCGGUGGCGAAGGCGGGACUCUGGGCCGAUACUGACGCUGAGGAGCGAAAGCGUGGGGAGCAAACAGG